AAAAAUUUAUUAUUAAUUUGAUUUAUAUGUAAAAUUUUUUGUAUGAAUAUACAUUUAUUUUAAAAAUAUUUGUAGUAUAUUUAUUCGCAGUAAUUAAUAUUAUUAAUUAAAGAAAUUUAGAAAUAGCAAUAUUAAAGAGUAUUGACUAAAUUGGUGCCAGCAGUCGCGGUUAUACUAAUAAUACAAAUAAAUUUUUUUAGCAGUAGUUAAAUUGAUUUUUUAAAAUAAAAUUGAAUUUAUUAAGUGAAAUUUUAUAUUCAAAAUAUUUUUGUAAAAAAUAAUUGAAGCUAAAAAAUUUUUGUAAAAAACUAGGAUUAGAUACCCUAUUAUUUAAAAUGUAGUUAUUAAUGUUUAAGUAGUAAUAGUUAUGUUCUUGAAACUUAAAAAAAUUUGGCGGUAUUUUAGUCUAUCCAGAGGAACCUGUUUUGUAAUCGAUAAUCCACGAUGGACCUUACUUAAAUUUGUAAUCAGUUUAUAUACCGUCGUUAUCAGAAUAUUUUAUAAGAAUAAUAAUAUUCAAUAAUUUUUAUAAAAAUUUAUAUCAGAUCAAGGUGUAGCUUAUAUUUAAGUAAUAAUGGGUUACAAUAAAAUUAUUUAUACGGAUAAAAUUAUGAAAAAAUUUUUGAAGGUGGAUUUGGUAGUAAAAUUAUAAAGAUUAAUAAUUUGAUUUUAGCUCUAAAAUAUGU
rnacentral:ncRNA from 1 species